UACAGAGGGUGCUAGCGUUGUUCGGAAUCAUUGGGCGUAAAGGGCGUGUAGGCGGUUUUGUUAAGUCAUGUGUGAAAAUCCCUCGGCUCAACCGGGGAACGACGCAUGAAACUGGCAAGCUAGAGUACCAAAGAGGGGGGGGUGGAAUCCCGGUGUAGCGGUGAAAUUCGUAGAUAUCGGGAGGAACACCAGUGGCGAAGGCGGCGACCUGGACAGAUAUGACGCUGAGGUGCGAAAGCGUGGGGAGCAAACAGG
rnacentral:rRNA from 1 species